rnacentral:rRNA from 1 species
AGAGUUUGAUCCUGGCUCAGGAUGAACGCUGGCGGCGUGCCUAAUACAUGCAAGUCGAACGAAACUUCUUUAUCACCGAGUGCUUGCACUCACCGAUAAAGAGUUGAGUGGCGAACGGGUGAGUAACACGUGGGCAACCUGCCCAAAAGAGGGGGAUAACACUUGGAAACAGGUGCUAAUACCGCAUAACCAUAGUUACCGCAUGGUAACUAUGUGAAAGGUGGCUAUGCUACCGCUUUUGGAUGGGCCCGCGGCGCAUUAGCUAGUUGGUGGGGUAAAGGCUUACCAAGGCAAUGAUGCGUAGCCGAACUGAGAGGUUGAUCGGCCACAUUGGGACUGAGACACGGCCCAAACUCCUACGGGAGGCAGCAGUAGGGAAUCUUCCACAAUGGGCGAAAGCCUGAUGGAGCAACGCCGCGUGGGUGAAGAAGGUCUUCGGAUCGUAAAACCCUGUUGUUAGAGAAGAAAGUGCGUGAGAGUAACUGUUCACGUUUCGACGGUAUCUAACCAGAAAGCCACGGCUAACUACGUGCCAGCAGCCGCGGUAAUACGUAGGUGGCAAGCGUUAUCCGGAUUUAUUGGGCGUAAAGGGAACGCAGGCGGUCUUUUAAGUCUGAUGUGAAAGCCUUCGGCUUAACCGGAGUAGUGCAUUGGAAACUGGGAGACUUGAGUGCAGAAGAGGAGAGUGGAACUCCAUGUGUAGCGGUGAAAUGCGUAGAUAUAUGGAAGAACACCAGUGGCGAAAGCGGCUCUCUGGUCUGUAACUGACGCUGAGGUUCGAAAGCGUGGGUAGCAAACAG